GCCUAGCAGAGCUUCUUUUUACCACAGCACGGGCUUUUCAAAAAAUCAUACCCUGAAUCCUUAAACACCACCACUCCAGAGUGUGGACGGCAGCCUGCAUGUAGCAAGAACACACGGAGGGUGCACACGGCGGUGCUGGGGACGGGCGAGGGGAGCGCCUGGUGCCAGGGAGGGCAUGGUGGGUGCACACGGCGGUGCUGGGGACGGGCGAGGGGAGCACCUGGUGCCAGGGAGGGCAUGGAGGGUGCACACGGCGGUGCUGGGGACGGGCGAGGGGAGCGCCUGGUGCCAGGGAGGGCUCCUGGUGUACACUGGGGGAGAGGGGGACCCCCCUGGCGUGUUGUAAUACCAUGGAUUUAGAACCAGGUGGCUGGGCCGGAAACCUGUUUCUGCCACAGACUUUGUGUUUUUGGGCAAACGACCUCAUUUUUCUGUACUUGUUUCCUCCUUCAUAGAAAUGGGCUCAUAAGAGUGUUGCUCUGGGACUAACUCCGUGAAUCUGCGUAAGUUCUUCUUGCUCUAUUUUUAACGUGCAUGUAACUGGCCUUGCAGGGCAGCCAAUCAUGAGCAGUAAGCGCAGUUAGUGAUGGAGGGGAGGGCAGGAGUGCAGGGCCGCGGUGAGAGCUGGGGUUGGUGGGGACACGGCCAGAUCCCAAAGCUCACAAGCCUCACCCUGCAUUCGCCUUCCAGAGUUGGGGGAGCCCUGCAGGAGUCACGGGGCCUGAUGUGCGUGUUAAAGCAAGACAUGGAAAUGCCUGCAAUGAGCUCAUGAAACGGUGCUAACCGUGUUCAGUCAGGGAAGGUGUCAAAAUAAAAAACACUACUUUCCCAUUAGAGGUAAAAGUGCAACAGUUUUAGCUGGUGAUGGGUGAAGAAACAGGCUCUCUGGGACAAGGCUGAGGGGUGGUGCAGGAGCAAACCUGUGUGGAGGUAACACUCUCAAAGUUAAACUGCUCAUACCAGUGACACACAUCCCAGUCCUGGAAGUUCAAACUGCACUUACAAAAGUAGACCCUGAUGUCCACACGAGGUUGACGCUGCCAUAUUGCUUACAUGAACGAGGGUCAGGUUUUAAAAGGCUUGAACGAGCCUGCUCAUAGUUAAUAGCUACAUCCUGCAUUUCCACAUAGCCAGCGGAGAGAAUCUGGCAGAGCGGCAGAAGCCACUUCUGGAACUCUGCGCUUUCUGUGCCAUUUCCUUGUGUGCAAAGUGAAAACAGUUCCUCCCUCACGUGGUUGUGGUGACGUGAAGGACACCCAGAGGGACAGGCCUCAUGCGGCCACAGGAACAGACGCGUGAGGGCACGUGUUCCUGCAAGGCAGGGAGAAGAACAUGACAGUGUCCCUAAGGAAGGCUCCGCCAGCCCUUGGGGUGGACAUGCAGUGGAGAGGCCAGCUCCUCAGACAGCAACAGAAAGCCAGAGAUGGCAGUUGCAGCCCAGACAGCUGGGACUUUGGGCAUCUGACCUUUCUCAGCACUGCCCAGGAAAAGUGCUGAGAAACCACCCGGGCACAGCCGCACAUUUGGAAACACAUCACGGCCCCCCAGGCACGCGCAGAGACCCUGUCACCACCCAUCAUCUCUCCUGGGCAUCAGGCAGCCCUCCAUGUGGGAGGCCCCACUCUAAUGAAGCCAGUGUACUGUAUCUGCUGAUCAAGGUUAAUCUGUAGGCAAAUAAACAUUAUUGAACUCUUCAU
rnacentral:lncRNA from 10 species